GCCGGUUUGGCUCAGUGGAUAGAGCAUCCGCCUGCGGACUGUAAGGUCCGGGUUCAAUUCCCGUCAAGGGCA
rnacentral:tRNA from 1 species